GACUAGGGAGUAGAUCAGUGGUGACCCACAUCUGGGGAGAAACAGCAAGGAUUGCCAGAGAACCACCUUUUGCUGAAAGAGAAGAAAAGGAAUACAUGUAAUACCUAAGAAAUGGAGAAAACAAAUGAACUUGUCUCCCUGGGAUUUUGGAAAACCAGUGCACCAUGUCUUGUGUUAGGCUGCAUUUUGGUCUUCGGACUGUGUUUCUGUGAUUCCUUCCAUCCAGUGUUGAUGAUGAUCAGAUUGUACAUCAACAGACCUACAGCUAAUAGCUUAAUUAUCCUGGCCCACUAUUAGGUAAUUCCUAGGUCUCGGUCCUUAGGAACUAUUCAUAUGGUUUUAUGCAAGUUCACAAUCUAGUAAAUUUGUCCAAUAUUUGUA